GGUGAGAAGCUGAGGAAGGAGCUGGAAGAGGAGUUGAAACUGGACCCUGAGCAACUUCGCAGCCACGCCUGGUACCACGGCUGUCUGCCACGGCAGGAGGCAGAGUCUCUGCUGCAGGACGACGGAGAGUUCCUCAUUCGUGACUCACGGUCCAGCUCCGACGACUACGUCCUGUCGUGCCGCUGGGGCGGCCAGGCCCUGCACUUCAAGAUCAUCCGCGUGGUGCUGCGCCCCCGGAAGGGCUAUUCUCGCACCCUCUUCCAGUUUGAGCAGGAGCAGUUUGACAACGUGCCCGCCCUGGUACGCUUCUACGUGGGCAACCAGAAGGCCAUCUCAGACUCCUCGGGAGCCGUGGUGUCCCGGCCUGUCAACAGGAGCGUGCCCCUCCGCUGGCUGAAGGAGCGGUACAGUGACACUGGCCAACCCCCGGGGCCGGGCAGGGUGCCCCUUCGGCGCUUCAGCUUCCGUGCAGCUGCAGAUGUGGAGGACACGGGAGACGGGAGCUUGCUUCGG